rnacentral:tRNA from 3 species
GGCAUAGCUCAGUUGGUAGAGCAGCUGAUUUGUAAUCAGCAGGUCGGGGGUUCAAGUCCCUCUGCC